CACCUCGAAAUGAUCCAAGGCAAUUUAAAAAAAGUUGUCUGAUUACCUUUACUAAUGCAUUGAGAUUUAAAUACCAGGGCUUUCAUUUAGCUUUCCGUUCCUCUGUGUCGAAGAGGAUGUGGUUACUUACUUACUCUUAUUUCUCUAGACACUCUGUGGAUUGUGACCUGUUGGUGGGCCAUGAAAUCAAUUUGGGGGUUUGAGAGCAUCAUUCUUUUAAUAAAACAGAAGAGAAUCAUCUGCAAUAAGGAACCCAUGGAUGAAUACCAUCUGGUCCUGGUGAUUUACUGCACAGAGUCCCUCAAGUUGCUCCAUACCUUUCUCCUGAGAGACUGAAGAAUCUCUGUCAAGGCCGUUCUCUGCUUUGCCAUAAAAUGUGUCCUUGGAACAAGAAUUUCCCCAUUGUCUUCUUCAAUAAAUACUGAUUCAAAGUAUUCAUUUAGCUGUUCCUCUCCUUCAUCAUUCCAUUUAACAUUCUCUUUCUC
rnacentral:lncRNA from 1 species